GAACCCAAACAGGCUUUUUCGCCAAUGAACGCCGCGCGGUACCGCCAUUUUUUAUGCCUCCGUUCAAACGGGCCAAUGGGGAGCCGCUUUUGGGCAUUGAAUGACAAGCGCACACUCGUGAAAACGGGGCGAGGAGGGGGCUGCCCCGCCGGUAGCGAAGGGAAGAAAACCCAAGAAAGGGAAGAGAAGGCUAGCCUCGAAGCGGUGACUACACCGACGACGCGCGACGAGACGAACAAGAAAAGUGCACAGUUUCCGGUUCCGGCGGCGGCGCGGUGGUUCUUUAUUAGGUACUUUUCUCUUUUAUCCGAUGCUCCCCCCCCCCAUCCUCUCGUUCUUCCUCCCUUCUUUCCCUCGGUCUGCUGCAGAGAGGCACAGUCGCGGCUGGAUUUUCGCAGGCAGACUGGAAUACGCGCAGUGCUCGCGCGGCGGAGCUCAGCAGUCUGUGUUUUUUGCUCCUGACAUCUCCCGUGUUUAACCCCAUGAAGCCAGUUGUGCCAGCUAGUUAAAUAUGCUUCGGAGUGCUCGGAACACGGAUGGCGUCGUUGCGGCAUCCCGUAGACCCGGCAUGUACGCGUCCAUCAAGCAAUAUGAUCGCCUAUUUCUCAAUAAAUUUCAAUUUUGAAUGGUU